GACGAACGCUGGCGGCGUGCUUAACACAUGCAAGUCGAACGGAAAGGCCCCUUUGGGGGUACUCGAGUGGCGAACGGGUGAGUAACACGUGAGUAACCUGCCCUUGACUUCGGGAUAACUUCAGGAAACUAGGGCUAAUACCGGAUAGGAAUCCUUGCUGCAUGGUGGGGGUUGGAAAGCUUCGGCGGUUUUGGAUGGACUCGCGGCUUAUCAGCUUGUUGGUGGGGUAGUGGCUUACCAAGGCUUUGACGGGUAGCCGGCCUGAGAGGGCGACCGGCCACAUUGGGACUGGGAUACGGCCCAGACUCCUACGGGAGGCAGCAGUGGGGAAUAUUGCACAAUGGGCGGAAGCCUGAUGCAGCAACGCCGCGUGCGGGAUGACGGCCUUCGGGUUGUAAACCGCUUUCAGCAGGGGCGAAGCUUGUGGUGACGGUACCUGCAGAAGAAGCACCGGCUAACUACGUG
rnacentral:rRNA from 1 species